UACGUAGGGUGCAAGCGUUAAUCGGAAUUACUGGGCGUAAAGCGUGCGCAGGCGGCUUUGCAAGACAGAUGUGAAAUCCCCGGGCCUAACCUGGGAACUGCAUUUGUGACUGCAUGGCUGGAGUGCGGCAGAGGGGGAUGGAAUUCCGCGUGUAGCAGUGAAAUGCGUAGAUAUGCGGAGGAACACCGAUGGCGAAGGCAAUCCCCUGGGCCUGCACUGACGCUCAUGUACGAAAGCGUGGGGAGCAAACAGG
rnacentral:rRNA from 1 species